rnacentral:rRNA from 1 species
UACGUAGGGUGCAGGCGUUAAUCGGAAUUACUGGGCGUAAAGCGUGCGCAGGCGGUUUGCUAAGACAGGUGUGAAAUCCCCGGGCUUAACCUGGGAACUGCGCUUGUAACUGGCAAGCUAGAGUGUGGCAGAGGGGGGUGGAAUUCCACGUGUAGCAGGUGAAAUGCGCAGAUAUCGGGAGGAACACCGGGUGGGCGAAGGCGGUUCCUCUGGGGCGAACAACUGACGCUGGAGGAGCGAAAGCGUGGGGAGCGAACAGG